rnacentral:rRNA from 1 species
UAGUUCAUAUGCUUGUCUCGCAGAUUAAGCCAUGCAUGUCUAAGUACAAACCUACAAACGGUGAAACCGCGAAUGGCUCAUUAUAUCAGAUAUGGUUCCUUAGAUCAUACAAACCACACGGAUAACUGUGGUAAUUCUAGAGCUAAUACGUGCCGCAAUGCCCUGACCCGCAAGGGAACGGGUGGCUUUAUUAGAUCAGAACCAACCGUGACGAAAGUUACGUAGGUUGUGAUGACUCUGGAUAACUUUGUUGAUCGCAGUCGGCCAUGUGCUGGCGACGGAUCUUUCAAAUGUCUGACCUAUCAAUUGUCGAUGGUAGGUGACCUGCCUACCAUGGUGAUAACGGGUAACGGGGAAUCAGGGUUCGAUUCCGGAGAGGGAGCCUGAGAAACGGCUACCACAUCCAAGGAAGGCAGCAGGCGCGCAACUUACCCAUUCCCAGAACGGGGAGGUAGUGACGAAAAAUACGGAUACGGGACUCUUUAGAGGCUCCGUAAUUCGAAUGAGUACAUUUUAAAUCCUUUAACGAGGAACAACUGGAGGGCAAGUCUGGUGCCAGCAGCCGCGGUAACUCCAGCUCCAGUAGCGUAUAUUAAAGUUGUUGCAGUUAAAAAGCUCGUAGUUGGAUCUGGGUCACAUGGCUACUUACCAGUGCCAAAGCUGUUCGUGCGGCUUCUGCCAUGCGUUCGGAUAGGUACGGUGUAGUGGUUGUGUGGUCUUUCUGCCGUGUCUGUUAUCAGGUGCUAAUCAUCUGGCAGGCGUUCCUGUCAGUUGGUUGGCACGCCUCCUGGUGCCUUUCAACGGGUGUCGGAGGCGGACGGCAAGUUUACUUUGAACAAAUCUGAGUGCUCAAAGCAGGCCUAAGUGCCUGAAAGUCCGUGCAUGGAAUAAUGGAAUAGGACUUCGGUUCUAUUUUGUUGGUUUUCGGUUCCGAAGUAAUGGUUAAGAGGGACAGACGGGGGCAUUUGUAUGGCGGUGUUAGAGGUGAAAUUCUUGGAUCAUCGCCAGACAAACUAAAGCGAAAGCAUUUGCCAAGGAUGUUUUUCAUUGAUCAAGAGCGACAGUCGGAGGUUCGAAGACGAUCAGAUACCGUCCUAGUUCUGACCAUAAACGAUGCCAUCUGACGAUCCGCGGGUGUCAAUCUGUGACCUUCGUGGGCAGCCCCCGGAAAACCCUUAAGACUUUGGGCUCCGGGGGAAGUAUGGUUGCAAAGCUGAAACUUAAAGGAAUUGACGGAAGGGCACCACCAGGAGUGGAGCCUGCGGCUCAAUUUGACUCAACACGGGAAAACUCACCCGGUCCGGACACUGUGAGGAUUGACAGAUUGAUAGCUCUUUCUUGAUUCGGUGGUUGGUGGUGCAUGGCCGUUCUUAGUUGGUGGAGUGAUUUGUCUGGUUAAUUCCGAUAACGAACGAGACUCUGGCCUGCUAAAUAGUAUACAUGUCCCCUGCACUCGUGCAGGUUUUGUCAUUCUCAGCCCGUUUCACGGACUGUGGUGGCAUUAUCCGGCGGGCGCGGUGCAUGUAAUUACUUCUUAGAGGGACAAGUGAGAAUAGUCACACGAAAUUGAGCAAUAACAGGUCUGUGAUGCCCUUAGAUGUCCGGGGCCGCACGUGCGCUACAAUGAUGGUUUCAACGAGUCUGGAAUCCCGGCCCGAGGGGGUUGGGCAAACUGUGUCAUGACCGUCGUGACUGGGAUCGGGGUUUGUAAUUAUCCCCCGUGAACGAGGAAUUCCUAGUAAGUGCAAGUCAUUAGCUUGCGCUGAUUACGUCCCUGCCCUUUGUACACACCGCCCGUCGCUACUACCGAUUGAAUGGUUUAGCAAGGUCAUCGGAUUGGUGCUGUUGUUGCGGUUUUCGCCGUUCGACUAGCGUUGAGAAGAUGACCGAACUUGAUCAUUUAGAGGAAGUAAAAGUCGUAACAAGGUUUCCGU